rnacentral:rRNA from 1 species
AUUGAACGCUGGCGGCAGGCCUAACACAUGCAAGUCGAGCGGAGCGGCGGACGGGUGAGUAAUGCCUAGGAAUCUGCAUGGUAGUGGGGGAUAACGUCCGGAAACGGGCGCUAAUACCGCAUAAUAUCAGAUGAGCCUAGGUCGGAUUAGCAUGUUGGUGGGGUAAAGGCCUACCAAGGCGACGAUCCGUAACUGGUCUGAGAGGAUGAUCAGUCACACUGGAACUGAGAAACGGUCCAGAGUCCUACGGGAUGAGGCAGUGGGGAAUAUUGGACAAUGGGCGAAAGCCUGAUCAAGCCAUGCCGCGUGUGUGAAGAAGGUCUUCGGGUUGUAAAGCACUUUAAGUUGGGAGGCGUUACCAACAGAAUAAGCACCGGCUAACUUCGUGCCAGCCGCCGCGGUAAUAC